CUAGCCGCGGCGUGCUGCGGGCAGGCCCGCCAUACAGCCAAACUUGUCGUCUCAGGAUAUCCCGCCCCCGGCCCGGUCCCGACGCCCUCCACUCAAAAGCGCGCCGCGGCGCCUGGCGAGGGGCCGCGGGAGGCCGGCGCGGGGCCGGGCGCCCGGGAGGGGAGCGCGGCGAGCGCGGGGAGGCGCGGGCCCCCUGCGAGCGCGAGCGCCGGACGGACGGACGGCUGCCCCCGCGGGGUUGACUAUUUGCCUAAUUCAAUUAAAUUUACUCAAGCCAGUGUACACAUCAUUUCUUAAAAAAAAAAAAAACAACUUGAUGAAUUAAAGUCAAAUAAAGCAAGCAAUCUGCUCACUCAGAGCAGAGUGAAGCCAUAGGUCAUGAAGAGGGAACGCUGCGUGAGGAACGCUGAGGCAGCCCAGUGCUAGGAGACCGGCUCAGUGGGACUCAGCGAGGCUCCACCGCACUCGGAGGAAGUCAAAGAUGAAAUGCGAUUUGAAUACGCUGCACACUGUGUCUGUGUGCCUGGAUGAACAAGUGUCUCGUGUCUGGGGAAGUGUAAGUCUCAUCGGGCUCUUUGCUGGCAAGGUAGAAGACAUUGUCAAUAAAUUAAAAAAUAGUUUUACAGGGUGAGAAAAUAAUUUGUUUUUGUUGUACUGGAGGAGGACACGAAAUGUUACCUCAUGUUUCUGUGAUGUCAUUUCCACAGGGAAGUGGCGUGUUGUCUGGUUUGAUGGGUUGCUGCUCAGGUGACUCGAUACCAGCAGAAGCUCUGGCCUUCAGACAUCUUACGGAUCCCAGUGUAGCUUUGGAAAAACCAUGCCUCACCUGAGCAUUUUAAAGUUGAUAUCUGCAAAACAAAUCCCAUUAGAAGUUGAAAAAAAAAAACCUAAACAGGAUGUAAUUCUUUAGCAUAUGUCAACGUUGGCACUUUGAAAUUGAAAGUUUUACAGUGUACAUGAAAGCAUAGCAGACGAUUUAAAACCGCAUAAAAACAGUCCCUGGCACACAGUGGCUGAGCUACAAAUUUUCCACCUUCCCAUGGUGUGAGGGUAGCGCUAACUCAGUGGAAACCGCUUGGAAGUUUGGACCUUUCUCGGGGCGCGGUCCUCAGCAGAGCCGCAGCUGCGCUGCACUGGACUGCGCAGCGGCAGAACGCCCUCAGCUUGCGAUGCUUUCCAGUCAUAAUAGGUUCAUUUCGGCCAAAAGUUACCGGAGUCAGGGGCUGUGGACCGCACACCACCACCUAAAACACAGCGCGGUUUCUUCGUUUACCAUGGACAAAUUUCUCAACCUCCUCCAUCCACAAGCUCCAUACCCAGCAAGCGGCGAUGACAAUUACUGCGCAUCUCUCUUUCCACGACAAGGAGAGUCUAUAAGGCUUGUGGGCCUAUUUUGAGCGCAGCCUGGUAAUCUAUACUUUCAAGAUUGGAAAUGACCCUGAACUUGAAACUUCAGAAGCCAACAGUGAAUAGUUCACAACUGCUGCAUGAGCAAGAUCCAGGCUCAGUCCCAGGCCCAGCAAAGACCUUGCACAGUUACACCACGGACUGGCAGGAGCGGUAUGAGCGAUGGAAGUGAUGUCUGUGUUUGGGCUGAUUCACUAGGUAGCCCAAAACACGCAGGUAUGACCUGCAAAAUCCGGAAUAGUCAAGGACAUUUUGGGUGCCAAUCAGUUUGAACAGGAACCCCAGCUCUGGGCAGUUAUUUUAAUGCUGUCACUACUAACCUCUGUUAAACCGCUCAUUGGAGGCUCCUCGCGUCUCACACCCAAGCUGAGUGUCAGCUCUUUGUACACUCAGCCUUGGCUUUCACAGUGACGGGCACUGGAGUUGGAAGGGUAGUUCAGUAGCUCUACCAGGAAUGGUAGGCCAAAUCACAGUAUGAAAUUCAAAGUUACUGGAGGCAGGGGUGGAGCACCACAGGUUCAAGGCCAGCCUGGAACACAUAUUAAGAUGACUUUGUCUUGCGUAAAACCUGAACAAACUAUCGCCAGUGUGCGGAGUAAGCAGGUCCAAUCGCGUAAGAGCAUCCAUCUUGUAAAAGCUUCCAUCUGGCUCCUUCUCAUGCAGGGCCAGAGUGGAAUGGUUUAUAAUGACAGAAACAGGCACUCUGAAGGUUCAGCCCCUGAGGGUUCUAGAAAAGCCCAGUCAUGAAGAGGGAUGCCACUGAGAGGUGUCCUGGCUUUUAACUUCCUACCAUAAAUUAGUGGGCAACUUUCAUGAACUAAAAGCGCAGCCAGUGAAAUUUUGUCAAUCUGGAGAGCUAUAAGGCAGCUGUAGAAAAUAAAUUAGGUACACCUAAUUUCCCUAUAAAAAUAUAAUCCUGAACUAUGAUGCCUCCCUUGCUUUGGGGAUUAGAAAAAAAGCCUCUUCAGUGAAUGCUUCUCAGACAAGCAUUUUGCUUUGCAAGGGGCGUUCUGUCUUCUCAACAGAAAAAUGAGCCUCACCAAAGACUUCAUAGAAGUAAGCAGAGGAGACAGCUCUGCACAUGGUCUGUAGUGUUCUCAGCCAGUGGCUUCGCUGAGCCCCACGCCCACCCUGUGCUAUGCCCCGAAGGGCUGCUGCUCUUACUUAUCACUGUCCUGAUCCUCACUGUCAAAACAUGGUGGAUUUUCCUGGAAACACCGUGUAAUUGCAAAGCCUCUGUGCUCAAGCGUUACCUCACCCAUUUCAUCACUCUGCUUUCCUAACUGGAGAAAAGAAACCCAAGAUAUAAGACAUCAGUGGGAAAUUGGCACCAUGGAUAUUGGAGAACCAAUGACACUAUAUUAAACUUCAAAAUGAAAGAGGGGUCCUGAGGGCAAAAUUUACUUGCUUCUACUUUCAAAGGUCAACAGGUAACAGUCUGCAGACUGUGGUGAUUUUUCAAGGCGUCUGUAAAUACGUCGAGUGUUUAGGCGUGAAUGCUGUAACCUAAUCAUUUUGCUGACUAUAAAUUCCCAGCCGUCAGAGCCUUUCAUUUUCUUCUCAGCCUCUGCUCAGACACAAGGCUGGAGCAGGGCCACGUUAAACUAGACUAGCAAAUGUUGCUGCCACUUUCUUGUUUUUAGACCAAGUAUUUUAGGCCAAAAUUUUAGUGCCUGCAGAAGAAAAUUACUAGAAGAAAAUGAAGUUUGUAGUAUAAAUAUAUUUUUUAUUUAUUAGAAUAUCUAGCCUUGCUAGAUCCAGUACUUUCAGUGUUUUGUGGGUAGCAGGAUCAAUUGCUGAAAAAAAAGAAGGCUAGGAAUUAUGUUAAAAAAUUAAGCAAUCUCUGUUGGUGUCAAAUGAAAUAGUCAAAAUUCUCUGGUAUCUGCAGUUUGGAAACUUCUAAAAUCAAUGUCUUUCUCACAUAGUCAUAAAAAUAUUUUUCCUAAAUAUUAAGGGAAAAAACUUAAUUAAAAAUGUUUACAGUGUCUGAUAGGCAAAGGGGGUUUUUUAAACAGUGAAGAGGUUGCAAAUACAGAAGAAAGAGGGAGGUGGGUGGGUAAAAUACAGACGUCUGAGAAAGCCACAAAAAGCCAUACUACUAACGACUUUCUUCAAAAGCCCAUCAUAUAUUCAGUUUCAUGUAAAAAUACACAUAUGUAGUUUUAAUGAACUUUUCUCUUAUAGGCUUGACAAUGCUCCCUCCAGGAGCCCAAAAUACCUAACAAAAUCCCUGAUGCCAGCCGUUAGAAGCCCUGCUUUGAGUUGUUGGCCAAGGCUGGCCAAGAGACACCCAAACAUACAUCUCUCAAUGGUCCUUAGUUACCUCUCAGAGGUGGAAGGUACGUUCCCAUCGCUGAAGGCACCAUGCAUUCUAGACACAGGGCCCAGAGACCCAUAAGUUGGAACUGACCUGAAAGCCCCUCCCUCAGGACUACUUUUCCUGGUACCUGAAGGCACCUUACACACUUCCAAAGGAAGGAGGCAAUCAGCCAUCCUGCCCAGCUAUGAUACUCAUGAGCCCCACCAACCAUCCGCAUAGCACAAUAACCGUGAGGGUGCAGUAAUGGCACAGAGACUUUGGCUGUAACCAAUAGCUCUCCACUCGGACUCAAGACACACUCAACAAGAAGGAAACUAUGCCUGGUACUGCAAACCUAGCCAACUACUCAAAGCUAGGGAAGUCAUGGCUACUGGCAGAGAACCUACAACUGCUGAUUCACCGAACUGUCAUAAUCCCUUACAACAGUCAAUAAACAUUGUCCUUACACCCAUAGACACGUUUAGUUUCCACCCCUCAUCAAGGAGAUCCAACUGAUGGAGACCACUACAGAAACCCUCAACCAGCCCAACAGUGAAGUUCUGAAGCCAGUGGACAUAUCUACAAAACACUCCUGCACCUAAGGCUAGGAGAACGUUGAGGAAGGGGGCAGAGGAGCUGUAAGAACCAGAGAACGGGGACUUUUCUGUGAGACUGUGCCUCCUGCCUGGGUUGGAAGUGACAUCUACAAAACCUCACCAACAUGACUGCCCAAAUGUAAGCCAGGCAAGGACAACACCAGUGAACAUGCCAAGCUGGACAGAGAGGCGCCACGAGGCCUCAGCCCUACACAAAGAACUACAGCAACUGAGGCAAGCCAGGACGGGGCACACUGGUCUCCCCCAGCAGGAGCCUGUCACUCGGCUGUCCAGUGCCAGUCAGCCUGGAGAACGCACAUUGAAUACAGAGAUAAUGCCACAAACUGUGGGCUGGAGAUGCGGCUCCGGGGUUAAGGUUUCAUGCUGCAUCUGCAGAGGACUGGAGUUUGGCUCCCGGCACCCAUGUCGGGUGACACCAAAAAAUACAGCACCCUCUUCUGGCCUCUGCAGCUCUCCCACUCGGAUUUGCCUCCACCAUGUUGGAGGGAGCGCCUCCGCCUGACACAGGCAGCGCAGGAGUCGUGCUGUGGAACGUCCUAUGCCAUUUG